rnacentral:other from 1 species
ACCCUGGGGAGCAUGUGAUUGACCUGUGAGGUUAUUGAGCCAAUACCUCUUGAAAGGGUAGUGAUUCCAGCGUACUGGUGUGCAUGCCCGGCCUUGGCCGGGAAGCCUGAAGGGGCGCGAAUCCGGCCCACCUGGACAUACCAGGUUCAAAACUGACGGCAACACGGUUCUCCCGGGGA